GUGCUCACUUUGGCAGCACAUAUACUAAAAUAAAAAUGGAAUGAUACAGAGAACAUUAGCGUGGCCUCUGCACAAGGAUGUGAUAUGGUUUGGCUGUGUCCCCAAUCAAAUCU
ensembl:snRNA U6 U6 spliceosomal RNA